UAGGGUGAACCUGCGGAAGGAUCAUUG
rnacentral:rRNA from 1 species